GCCGGAGUAGCUCAGAGGCAGAGCACCUGUCUUGUAAACAGGCGGUCGUGGGUUCAAUUCCCACCUUCGGCU
rfam:Segniliparus rugosus ATCC BAA-974 genomic scaffold acqcO-supercont2.1, whole genome shotgun sequence.